CCCAUCCCAGCAGGCACUGUGACACAGCACACUGAUAUCAGGCUUAAUGAACAGAAAUAAAUCCAUAUCUUUAUAACAAAGUCACUUUAACACCACACAUCUAAAAUCCAUUUUAAUAACUGCAAAAAGCCAAUAUUAUAAUGUGCAUCUAUAACAGGUGGGACACUGGGCAGUGGGAAGGGCUGCUGGUUUUGCUGCUGGGGUUCUCACACCAAAUGUGCUGAGGUUCUCACCCCAAACUUCUCCUUGCUGUGAGCAGAGCCAGUGGCAGCCCCAGCUGCAGCAGCUGCGGGACAUGGGCAUCCACGACGACGAGCUGAGCCUGCGGGCCCUGCAGGCCACAGGAGGGGACAUCCAGGCUGCCCUGGAGCUCAUCUUUGCUGGGGGGGCCCCCUAAACCUUCUGCUGGACUGGACUCUGCACGGAGAAGGGAAGAGGUGGCUCGGGGCUGGAGACGUGGCCCCUCCAGCUGUGCAGUGUUUUAUCUGUCACCACUCUCUGCCUGAAUGUUGUUUCAUUCCCUGCAUUAAAAGGGCCCUGCUCAGUUCCCUGCCUGCUGUGUGGGUCGUGCUCUGUCCUGGCUGUGCUGCAGAUCCCAGCAGGGCAGGAAGGGGAAGCAUUGCUGGCCAGGGGUUAUGGACAGAUCAUGAACAGGGCAGGACUGCUGUGGAACACAUCUCAAGCUGUUUGUUUUCCAGCAUCACUCUCAUUACAUGGUUAUGACAAUGGGAAGAUGCCAGCAGCAGAUAAAGAACUUAAUGUCACAACUCACUUUAAAAGUUUUUUGGCCAAUCACACAAAGCAAAAGCACGUUGAUAUUAGUUCUAUCCAACCACUAUAAACACAUGUACCUUCUGUUAAAACAAUGCUUGCUUAUCUUGAAUACAAUACCUGCUUGUAAGCCUUAAAACACAAUGCACAGAGCUCCAUUAUUAACCUUAGAACUUCCUCGUGUCUUGCUAGAUAAACUUUUCUGUAGUUUAGAGAGUUAUUCUAGCCAAGUGUUAAUACACAGACCAUUGUUCUAGUUGUCCUUAUUUUCUACAUCUUAUAUAACUUUUCUGCUGACAAAUCUUACGGCUCUCACUUAGCUCUAAUUGCAGUUCUGCUGUCUCUGAGCCCUGCCUUUUGCAGCUUUCCCAAAACCCUCAGAUUGCGGGAAUCCAGAAAACUCAGCCUCGGUGGGAUGUGGUGCUGUCAGCAGAGGGCACGGCCACCACGAGGUGACAGUGACAAAGAAAUGACAGGGGCUGAGUGGGAGCUGGAGAAAUGCCCGGUGUGGGUUCCUCCACGUGCAGAGCCAAUUAACGGCGUUCGCCUUUAAUUGCAAUCAGUGGGGGCAGCAAAAAGCCCGGCCUGGAGCCGGGCCCGGCAUCGCUGGGACUGCGCGCCGGGGUUAACGAGGCGUGAAAACGGCGGCGGGUUGUGGGAGCAGGGAGCGCUCUCCUGCCUCACCUCCGGGCUGCUCUGCUGCCCUCUAAUCCCCGCGCAGCGCUGUGAUCCUCGCUGAUAGCAUCGCCGUGUCACCCUGCGAGCCGGGAUUGUUCUCUGCGGGGAGCCCUGCGCUGAUAGGCGUUAAUCCUGUCGAGAGGAUUAAUGCCCGAGGGAGGCAAGGAGGGAAGGAGGGGCUGGUGUUGUGCUCAGGCUGGAGCAGAUAAGAUGUGAUGGACAUAAAUGGCUUUCCUGACACCCUCCUGGGUCCCUGCCCUCGGCACGCACACGG
ensembl:lncRNA